rnacentral:sRNA from 2 species
UUUUUGCGUUAAGGAUGGAAGUGGCAUCCUUUUUUGCUCGCCUUUACUUUUUGAGUGAGUAAAGACGAGCAAAAAAGAUACAACGUACAGCCUGACCCGCA